rnacentral:lncRNA from 1 species
GUCACUAUCUAUCUGGAGACUCUUACUUCAACUGCUCAACAGAUCCUUCCGCUUCCAGUGCUCCGUCGUGUUCUUGUUGCAGUUCUUGUGCAUAUCUCUGAGAGGAUUAUUGCCCUAUUCUUGAAUGACUCAGUGAAGCGGUUUAGUGCUAGCGCGGUCAUCGGUAUAGAUACUGAUCUUAAAAUGUUUGAGUCAUUCGCAGAGAACAUGUCGAGCCUGUUCCUGGACUCUCAUCAGGAUUCUGCAGCAAGUGAAAUGAAGUCUGCACUGGUGGAGCCGAGGCAGCUGGUGAAUCUUCUUAUGAGCAACAGCCCAGAGAACUUCCUUAACCCAGUGAUCCGUGAGAAGAGCUACAAUAAGCUUGAUUAUAAAAAGGUGGCAAUUAUCUCGGAGAAGUUCAGGGAUACCUCAGAGAGCUAUUUCUCAACAUUUGGAACUAGGGGUGCUAGGCAGAAUCCAAAGAAGAAAUCUCUGGAUACCCUUAUCAAGAGGCUUCGAGAAGCUAGCUAGCCUCUACCCUGCAGUAAGAUAAUACUCCCUCCGUUCCAUAAUGUAAGACGUUUUUUGACACUAGUGUAGUGUGAAAAAACGUCUUACAUUAUGGGACGGAGGGAGUAGUUGCAUGUAAUUUAGCUUGUAUGUGGUGUGCAUUAUGUGUGUUAAAAUCAUUGUUCUUCUACGUACUACAAUUUUCUUGAAGGUAGAGUGCUUGUUCCAUAUGUCUGGAUAUCUUAAUUUUGAUUCUUUUAUUUACUCGUAAACAGUAUGAUCAAGAAUUCAAGAUAUAGUACAUCAUUUGUUUUCGUUACCUUGCAAUAACAACUUGGAUAUUUAUGUGUCCGAUGUACAACUAAGAACAUCUCCACGGAUGCCCAAAAAUUUGAAGCCC